rnacentral:rRNA from 1 species
GAUGAACGCUGGCGGCGUGCCUAAUACAUGCAAGUCGAGCGAACGGACGAGAAGCUUGCUUCUCUGAUGUUAGCGGCGGACGGGUGAGUAACACGUGGAUAACCUACCUAUAAGACUGGGAUAACUUCGGGAAACCGGAGCUAAUACCGGAUAAUAUUUUGAACCGCAUGGUUCAAAAGUGAAAGACGGUCUUGCUGUCACUUAUAGAUGGAUCCGCGCUGCAUUAGCUAGUUGGUAAGGUAACGGCUUACCAAGGCAACGAUGCAUAGCCGACCUGAGAGGGGGAUCGGCCACACGGGAACGGAGACACGGUCCAGACGCCUACGGGAGGCAGCAGUAGGGAAUCUUCCGCAAUGGGCGAAAGCCUGACGGAGCAACGCCGCGUGAGUGAUGAAGGUCUUCGGAUCGUAAAACUCUGUUAUUAGGGAAGAACAUAUGUGUAAGUAACUGUGCACAUCUUGACGGUACCUAAUCAGAAAGCCACGGCUAACUACGUG